GUGGGGAAUAUUGGACAAUGGGCGAAAGCCUGAUCCAACCAUGCCGCGUGUGUGAAGAAGGUCUUCGGAUUGUAAAGCACUUUAAGUUGGGAGGAAGGGCAGUAAGUUAAUACCUUGCUGUUUUGACGUUACCAACAGAAUAAGCACCGGCUAACUUCGUGCCAGCAGCCGCGGUAAUACGAAGGGUGCAAGCGUUAAUCGGAAUUACUGGGCGUAAAGCGCGCGUAGGUGGUUCAGCAAGUUGGAGGUGAAAUCCCCGGGCUCAACCUGGGAACUGCCUCCAAAACUGCAUGACUAGAGUACGGUAGAGGGUAGUGGAAUUUCCUGUGUAGCGGUGAAAUGCGUAGAUAUAGGAAGGAACACCAGUGGCGAAGGCGACUACCUGGACUGAUACUGACACUGAGGUGCGAAAGCGUGGGGAGCAAACAGGAUUAGAAACCCCUGUAGUCC
rnacentral:rRNA from 1 species